rnacentral:rRNA from 1 species
AGAGUUUGAUCCUGGCUCAGGAUGAACGCUGACAGAAUGCUUAACACAUGCAAGUCGACUGGAAUUCUUCUUCGGAAGAUAGUACGGUGGCGGACGGGUGAGUAACGCGUAAAGAAUUUGCCCUUCAGACUGGGACAACUAACCGAAAGGUUAGCUAAUACCGGAUAUUAUGAGACCUUGGCAUCAAGGACUUAUGAAAGCUAUAUGCGCUGGAGGAGAACUUUGCGUCCCAUUAGGUAGUUGGUAGGGUAAUGGCCUACCAAGCCAACGAUGGGUAGCCGGCCUGAGAGGGUGAACGGCCACAAGGGGACUGAGACACGGCCCUUACUCCUACGGGAGGCAGCAGUGGGGAAUAUUGGACAAUGGACCAAAAGUCUGAUCCAGCAAUUCUGUGUGCACGAUGAAGGUCUUCGGAUUGUAAAGUGCUUUCAGGUGGGAAGAAGAAAGUGACGGUACCACCAGAAGAAGCGACGCUAAAUA